CAGCUGCCAGACCUUCCUUCAACGCCGCAGUGUUGACCAAGUUUGGAAACCUGUCUCUUGUCUGAAGCUCUGGAUGAGCUUAGCCUGUUACCUGCCUGCCUGCCCUAGAGAGCCAAACCUGAAGAUCUCACUCUGGAAUCCAUCUGCUGCUCUCAGGGAAAGAGCUGAUCAGUUAAACCAAGGUCUGUCACUGGAAAGUCAGAAGCUAGACGCUGCUGCUGCUGAGCACUCUGCUGAACCAACAGUCUCUGGACCCAACCGGUUCCCUCUCUCAAAGGAGAAAGCCUGAACCUAUUCAAGACGCCAGAGAAUCCUGCCCGGACCAGUUUCCUGAAUCCAGUCCUUGUUAAUAUUGUGAAAUCUUUCAAUAAACUCUG